CGCGUGCACUGGUUCGGCCGGGCCUUUCCCUCUGGGGAGCCGCAUGCCCCUUCACUGGGUGUGUCGGGGAACCCAGGACUUUUACUUUGAACAAAAUUAUAUCGCUUAAAGAAGGCCUAUGCUCGAAUACAUUAGCACGGAAUAAUAGAAUAGGACGCGUGGUUCUUUUUUGUUGGUUUCUAGGACCCCCAUAAUGAUAAAUAGGGACAGUCGGGGGCAUCAGUAUUCAAUUGUCAGAGGUGAAAUUCUUGGAUUUAUUGAACACUAACUACUGCGAAAGCAUUUGCCAAGGAUGUUUUCAUUAAUCAGGAACGAAAGUUAGGGGAUCGAAGACGAUCAUAUACCGUCAUACUCUUAACCAUAAACUAUGCCGACUAGGGAUCGGACGAUGUUAUAUUUUGACUCGUUCGGCACCUUACACGAAAGUAAAGUUUCUGGGUUCUGGGGGGAGUAUGGUCGCAAGGCUGAAACUUAAAGAAAUUGACGGAAGGGCACCACCAGGGGUGGAGCCUGCGGCUUAAUUUGACUCAACACGGGGAAACUCACCAGGUCCAGACACAAGUAGGAUUGACAGAUUGAGAGCUCUUUCUUGAUUUUGUGGGUGGUGGUGCAUGGCCGUUCUUAGUUGGUGGAGUGAUUUGUCUGCUUAAUUGCGAUAACGAACGAGACCUUAACCUCCUAAAUAGCCCCCAUUGCUUUGGCAGUGCGCCGGCUUCUUAGAGGGACGAUCGG
rnacentral:rRNA from 1 species